GGGGGCGACUGGUUUCGACAUAUGUGUUUUGAGUCAGGAAGCAUGCGGUGGUCGCCUUGCCACCUUAAACAGGGGCACUGUCAAAUUAAUUGACAACAAUUCUUAUGCUCUCGCCGCUUAAUUAAGCCGCGACGUCAAUUCGGGGUCUAUCCCCGCCCCCGAGGCGACGACACUGAGGGGAUUGCCCAAGGCGAUGUAGUCGGUAUGCGCUUUGGAAAGCUGAAACCGGCUGGUCCGGAUUUCUUCCGUCAAACUGGGAUUUCCAGACGAGAAUAACAGGAUGACUGAGCAUGGAGAGGCCUGACAGGAAGCAUGUAUGGACCGGAGUUCGAUUCUCCGCGCCUCCACCA
rnacentral:tmRNA from 1 species